rnacentral:rRNA from 1 species
UACGUAGGGUGCAGGCGUUAAUCGGAAUUACUGGGCGUAAAGCGUGCGCAGGCGGUCUUUUAAGUCAGAUGUGAAAUCCCCGGGCUUAACCUGGGAACUGCGUUUGAAACUGGAAGGCUUGAGUGUGGCAGAGGGGGGUGGAAUUCCGCGUGUAGCAGUGAAAUGCGUAGAUAUGCGGAGGAACACCGAUGGCGAAGGCAAUCCCCUGGGCCUGCACUGACGCUCAUGCACGAAAGCGUGGGGAGCAAACAGG